AGUAGAACGCUGAAGGAGGAGCUUGCUUCUCUGGAUGAGUUGCGAACGGGUGAGUAACGCGUAGGUAACCUGCCUGGUAGCGGGGGAUAACUAUUGGAAACGAUAGCUAAUACCGCAUAAUAGUAGAUGUUGCAUGACAUUUGCUUAAAAGGUGCAAUUGCAUCACUACCAGAUGGACCUGCGUUGUAUUAGCUAGUUGGUGAGGUAACGGCUCACCAAGGCGACGACACAUAGCCGACCUGAGAGGGUGAUCGGCCACACUGGGACUGAGACACGGCCCAGACUCCUACGGGAGGCAGCAGUAGGGAAUCUUCGGCAAUGGACGGAAGUCUGACCGAGCAACGCCGCGUGAGUGAAGAAGGUUUUCGGAUCGUAAAGCUCUGUUGUAAGAGAAGAACGAGUGUGAGAGUGGAAAGUUCACACUGUGACGGUAUCUUACCAGAAAGGGACGGCUAACUACGUGCCAGCAGCCGCGGUAAUACGUAGGUCCCGAGCGUUGUCCGGAUUUAUUGGGCGUAAAGCGAGCGCAGGCGGUUAGAUAAGUCUGAAGUUAAAGGCUGUGGCUUAACCAUAGUACGCUUUGGAAACUGUUUAACUUGAGUGCAAGAGGGGAGAGUGGAAUUCCAUGUGUAGCGGUGAAAUGCGUAGAUAUAUGGAGGAACACCGGUGGCGAAAGCGGCUCU
rnacentral:rRNA from 1 species